GGGGCCAUGGUUCAGUGGCAGAUCAUCUGCUUGGCAUGCAGAAGGUCCACGGUUCAGUCCUUGGCAUCUCCA
rnacentral:tRNA from 1 species